rnacentral:rRNA from 1 species
AGACUCAGACUAGCCAUGCACGUCUAGUACAAACUAAAUGAUGGUGAAACUGCAAAUGGCUCAUUACAACGGUUAUGAUGUACCCGGGAGUUCCGAUGGAUAUUUCCAGUAACACUAGAACUAAUACAUGUCCCUGCGUUUAUUAGUUUCGCACAGUCCGUCGCUGAGUCAUGGUAAACAGUUGAUCGACUCGACGUCCCGGAACAGUUUCCGCCCCAUCAGCUUCGAUGGUUGGGUAUUGGCCUACCAUUGCAACAACGGGUAACGAGGAAUUAGGGUUUGAUUUCGGAGAGGGAGCCUGAGAAACGGCUACCACAUCUACGGAUGGCAGCAGGCGCGCGAAUUACCCAAUGCAGACACUGUGAGGUAGUGACGAGAAAUAAUAAAGCGGGACUUCUGUUUCGCUAUUAUAAUGAGGAAUAACCAAAGGUCAUUCCGAUUAGCAACUGAUGGGAAAGUCUGGUGCCAGCAGCCGCGGUAAUACCAGCGUCAGUAGCAUA